AAGUAGUAAUAAGUAAAAAUCUUCUCGUUCAGUUGUUCAGCCUCCAAGAUAUGGGAUGGACCGCGUAACCUCAAAGUGACAGCUACAUAGUUAUUGGCCAACAACACUCAGAGCAUCAGUUUCGAGAAAAAAACAGUUAUGCAGACAGUGGAAGGUCGGAAGGUUCCCUACUGUCUGUUCAUCGCUGGCGGAAAUAGAUUCCUCAACAGUAAUAGAAUAUAAAUAUACAGCAAAACAAUCUUCAUGAAAGUCCAUAGAUGAAGAGGGGAGUAAAUCCCGCUUAUGUCUGGAAACCCUCCAUUUUAUAGCGGGGGAAGGAGGUCGGAUGGCCAAAAUUGCGUGUACACUGCUUCUGACAUUUGGACGUUCAGCAGUUAUACUAAUACACCAAGGAGAUUAAAUACCUUCAUGUCACA